UAGAGGUAGAGUGAAUAAGUCAUAAAAAGGCUAAGUAGCAAGGUCUUGUGGUGAAAGUUCCAACAUCAAAGUAUCACAAGUCCAGUUGCAACAGCAAGUUUGAAGCAGUCAAGCAGCUGAGGCCUGGCUGUCACCUUCUCUGUAUAUUCUUUGGCAAGGUGGUACAGUCCGAUACUGCUGUAGCACUGGGAAACUUCUUUGAUCAGACGGAUCACAUUGUUUUCAUUUGGGCUGCAUUCAAACAUGUGUUGUCGCAAGCUUAAGCAGCGAGAAUAAAGAGUAGACAUUCGA